CAGUCGCCGCGGGAACACGGAGGGGGCUAGCGUUGUUCGGAAUUACUGGGCGUAAAGCGCACGUAGGCGGCUUUGUAAGUUAGAGGUGAAAGCCCAGGGCUUAACCCUGGAACUGCCUUUAAGACUGCAGAGCUUGAAUCGCGGAGAGGUGAGUGGAAUUCCGAGUGUAGAGGUGAAAUUCGUAGAUAUUCGGAAGAACACCAGUGGCGAAGGCGGCUCACUGGACGCGUAUUGACGCUGAGGUGCGAAAGCGUGGGGAGCAAACAGGAUUAGAUACCCCAGUAGUCCCUGUCUCUUAUAC
rnacentral:rRNA from 1 species